CUGUGGAUUUUUGAUUUUCCUCUGUUUUUCUCUGUUCUAGGAAGCCUUAGAUCAUGGCAGGGAAAGGGGGACUUUAUGCAUGUGAGGAUCCAGCCUCCUGGAAGGCCAUUUUGAAUAUUUACCAGGAUGUGGUUGCAGCUGUGGGAAGCAAGAAAAAGAAACUCAUUGCCUUGGAUCAAUGGUACCAAGAGGAGUUGCCUGGGGUUCUUGCAGGGCGCGAGGAGAAAUACUUGACGAAAGAGGAAUUGCUGAGACUCAUGGAGUGGAAGGUUACAAGGGGCAAAUUUCGGCCCCGCUUGCAGGAGCUGGUGGCCGUGAAUUCGAGUGAGAUGGUGGAGGAGCAUACCAGAAAAGCUUUCCAUCGGCUCCCUGACGUAGAGGCUGCCGUGAAGGAGUUGAACCAACUGAAGGGGGUCGGACCCGCAACAGCUUCAGCUGUUCUUGCCGCCGGAGCACCCGAAAUUGUGGCAUUCAUGGCCGACGAAGCGAUGGAAUCCCUCCCGGGCCUCGUUCCUCUUCAGUACACCCUCAGACAUUAUCUGCUUUAUCUGGACGGGAUUCGGAGCUGUGCGAAGAAACUGAACCAAGGUAGCGCCACGGGAACGUGGACAGCUCACCUUGUGGAAAAAUGCCUCUGGGCCUGGACUUGGGCUGAAAAGCUGCAUUUGCCCAUCUUGAGGAUUGCAGACCCAGGUGGGAACCAAGCAGGUGAUGGCAAAGAAGAAGACAGACCCAGGAAGAAACAGAGAACCAAAUGAAUGCUUCCUGGGUGCUGCAACAGGGAUCAACACCUGCUCCUUGGCACGUGAAUGCCAGAACUGAACAACACACCCAAGGGAAGUUUGCUCACUUUGGGACCAACCACACCAGAACACAGCAACCAGCACAGCACCGUUUUCUCAAAAACAGAAGGUGGGGGUUGUAGGACAUAGAGUGUUAGAAACCCUGUCUGACCUUCUUUCAAACCAUCAACAGAGAUCGGUCCCAACGUUCCUCUCUAAUCAUACUGAAAUGGAAUAUUCUCUUAGAAACAGCCUUACCUUACCUGCCCGUCUACGGAUAGGUUGGAUCCCCCCUUCCCUUGCCUGCUGGAGGAUUAUGGGAGGGGAACUCCAUUAGAUCUAGAGUCCAGUUGGUUGAUAUUAGGAGUUGAAUAUGUAAUGGGACGUACCAGCUGACCUAGAUGGAGAUGUGGGUUUCACAGCUCGUUUCUCUUGCUUCAAAUGGAUUUUCCUCAAGAUCCAAACAUGGAUCAAGAAUUCAAGAGUUGGGUUGAGUUUUCAAAAGGCGUGGGAGCAAAGAGGGGGCUUGGUGAUUUUCCCUUGACUUGAAUCGUCUGGAGCAGGGUUGAGAAACCCUGGUCUGGAGUGACAUGGUGCUUGUUAUCACUAGAGGGAGCCCCUGUCUAAACAUGUCCUCCAACACCAACACUUCCUAAAUCCUGUCCACUUUCCUACCUGGCUGAUCUGUGGAAACUUUGCUCUGUUAUAAAGAUAUUCAGAUGCCGUGAUGUUUCUAUACCUACAAAGAUCAAAAUCGUGCAAGCCAUGGCAUUCCCUGUGACGCUCCCUGGAAGCCAAAGAGGAAACACCUUUGAACUUUGGUGUUGAGAAGACUCCUGAAGAUACCAUGAACAAGCAAGAAAACUAAUGGACCAUCGAACAAAACAACCGAGAGUUCUCAAUCAAGGCACUAAUGACUAGACUCAAAUUAUUCUACUUCAGGCACAUUAUGGGAAGACCCAGCUCUCUGGAGAAGGCUCUGAUGCUGGGAAAGGUGGA